CGAGCGAAUGGAUUAAGAGCUUGCUCUUAUGAAGUUAGCGGCGGACGGGUGAGUAACACGUGGGUAACCUGCCCAUAAGACUGGGAUAACUCCGGGAAACCGGGGCUAAUACCGGAUAACAUUUUGAACCGCAUGGUUCGAAAUUGAAAGGCGGCUUCGGCUGUCACUUAUGGAUGGACCCGCGUCGCAUUAGCUAGUUGGUGAGGUAACGGCUCACCAAGGCAACGAUGCGUAGCCGACCUGAGAGGGUGAUCGGCCACACUGGGACUGAGGACACGGCCCAGACUCCUACGGGAGGCAGCAGUAGGGAAUCUUCCGCAAUGGACGAAAGUCUGACGGAGCAACGCCGCGUGAGUGAUGAAGGCUUUCGGGUUCGUAAAACUCUGUUGUUAGGGAAGAACAAGUGCUAGUUGAAUAAGCUGGCACCUUGACGGUACCUAACCAGAAAGCCACGGCUAACUACGUGCCAGCAG
rnacentral:rRNA from 1 species